rnacentral:rRNA from 1 species
UACGUAGGGUGCAAGCGUUGUCCGGAAUUAUUGGGCGUAAAGAGCUCGUAGGCGGUCUGUCGCGUCGGUCGUGAAAACCUGCAGCUUAACUGUGGGCGUGCGGUCGAUACGGGCAUGACUGGAGUUCGGCGAGGGAGGACUGAUUCCUGGUGUAGCGGUGAAAUGCGCAGAUAUCAGGAGGAACACCGGUGGUGCAGACGGCUCUCUGGACCGUAACUGGACGCUGAGACACGAAAGCCGUGGGGAGCAAACAGG